GUGCACCUCACCACGUUCACUUCAGGGUACCCCAAGAGGCUGAAGGGGAAGGACCAAAAGGCCGAGGUGCAGCCCCUCCCCGGUGUCAGGGCAGACAACACAGCAGCUGCUGGAGGGGCCGGCCCUGGCCACACAGACUAGCUAGUCCCUUACUCCCGGCCUGUCUGGAACCCUCCUGCUCAGAAGGUGCCCACUAGCCCUCUGUGGGGGACAGAGCCAGACAUGGGUGGUCAGGGAGAGGCUGUGUGGAUUCAGGGGACCAGAAAGUAAGUCCCAGGACCUUGAUGGAGCGGCAGGGAUUGAUGUUGGGCUAGGGUGGCCAGAGCCUGUCCCAGCAGGGCUGGGGUCUAUCACGUUCCUGGGAUCCAAGCAGCGAGCACGCCCUGCCCCGCAGUCACCCCGCCCCGCAGUCGCCCUGCAGCUGGAAGGCCCAAGUCUGCCUCACCUGGGUGGCCUCUCAUGUCCCCCACACCCUGGCCCCCAGGCGAGGGGGGCUGCACAGCACCUGCAGGGAGGAGAAGGGAGAGAAAAGCCGGUCUGGCUGCUGGGAUGGGAGGGCCACAGUUCCAGCAGUGGCAGGGGAAGCUGUAGCCCCUGGAGCCCCACACUGGAAGAGCUGGCCUGCAGGAGGCACCAUGGGGGAGUCGCAUGACUUAUUCGGGAUUGACUUGCGAUGUGGAUGGUGUUCCCGGAGUCCCCUGUGGCCACUCCACCACCAUGAGGCCGGGAGGCAUCUUAGCCUUUGAGCCUCUCUCCAGGGGUGAGCGGAGCCCCCCAAAGAGGGCUGAAGGCUUGCUGCCCAAGAGGGGCUGGGUGAGCACUUGGGGCCUCUGAGAACAUCAGUGGUCCGUUCCCUCCUGCACACUGGUGGCAAGUGGCAGCAUUUUUUCAUAAUCUCCAGUAAUGAGGCCACUUCGGGUCCAGCCCUGGACAUCCGAGGAGGAGGCGGGCAGUCCCUGCCCCUUCACUAACCGCAGAGGAUGCCAGCUCUAGGCCCCCUGCUCCGCCUGGAGCUCAUGCGGGCAGCCGUGGACACAGGUGGCACCCAGCGCCCAGCGGCCUGUGAAUCCUCCCGUGGGCAAAGCUGGGAGCCAGGGGCUGGAACCAGGCAGGUCAGUGACUGUGAGAUGCCAGCUGCCAGCCCAAGAAAAGCUGCCUGCAGCAUCUGGAAACUUCUGUGCUCUCCUUGGCCUCUGUGUUCUUCAUCUCCAGGUUUAGGGAGCACCCGGGUGCCUCUCUGCUUGUCCCGAGCCCACUCACCAACAGCCCCAGCUUGCACAGUCAUGACAUCAGGAAGAAAACUGGGCAGGGCGCAGUGUCUCACACCUGUAAUCCCAGCACUUUGGGAGGCCAAGGCAGGUGGACUGCUUGAGCCCAGGAGUUGAGUUUAAGAUCAGCGUGGGCAACAUGAUGAACCCUGACUGUAUCAAAAAGUACAAAAAAAAAAAUAGCUAGACGUGGUGGCAUGUGCAUACAGUCCCAGGUACCCAAGAGGCUGAGGAAGGAGGAUCACCUGAGCUGGGGAGGUUGAGGCUGCCGUGAGCUGAGAUGGCACCACUGCACUCCAGCCUGGGUGGCAGAGAGAGACCCUGUCUCAAACAAAAC
rnacentral:lncRNA from 1 species